rnacentral:rRNA from 1 species
GACGUAGGGCGCGAGCGUUGUCCGGAUUUAUUGGGCGUAAAGAGCUCGUAGGCGGCUUGUUAAGUCAGGGGUGAAAUCCUGGAGCUCAACUCCAGAACUGCCUUUGAUACUGGCGAGCUUGAGUCCGGGAGAGGUGAGUGGAACUGCGAGUGUAGAGGUGAAAUUCGUAGAUAUUAGGAAGAACACCAGUGGCGAAGGCGGCUCACUGGUCCGGUACUGACGCUGAGGUGCGAAAGCGUGGGGAGCAAACAGG